GAGAACCGCUGCGGGUCGCCGGCUGCGGUACUGGGCACUCCCAGGCGGGAGGACACACUCUUGCGGUUGUUGGAGACCUCCAGGCUAGGGUGUGCUGUGGCAGGAUCCAAGGUCACAUCCACUGAGCAGAAGCAAAAGGCUCUACUAACCACUGAAGCAAGACUAUCUUGGACCUCACAUGGUGACGUUUUGAGUGACCUUAGGGUAGCCAGUUAUACCUUUCAGUGGGAGCCUCUGUAGCCAAAUAUGAACUGAACAUGAACGCAAGCUGUGCAGCCUGCACUCCAGUGGGUUCGGAUGCCACAGCACUGGUAUGACCUUCACCUCCCACCACUUACAACUGGGCGACCACAAACUCCACUUUUCCAGCUCUGAUCCUAUACUUGAAGGGGCCCAGCAUCCGAAGUGUUUUGCUUUUGGAAACCAGUGAGCUAUUCAACUUGGCUGGGGAAUCUACAGGUUGUCAUCUGCUUCCUGGCAUUUGUCUCAGUUCUCACACCACCGGAGGAAUCCCCAACAAAGCCAACAGCUACUUGGUCACAGCAGCAACCGCCCUGUGCUAGUCUAAAUGAAAAUGGCUCCCCAACACCAACCCAACCUCAAAACCUUUGACCUACAAUUCGUCCUGCCUACAAGAUGUGCUGUGGUAAAUGUGCUGCAGAAAUUGGUGGAGUGGCUGACCCAUGGCUGGUCCAGCUUGAGACCCAUGCCACAAGAGGGAGCCCAUGCCUGACACUAUCUGGAGGGCCAGAAACCAGAGGCUGCAUAGCCCCAGACAUCUGAUAGCCCCAGAUAGAACCAAACAUGACCAGCAAAGAAAACAGUCCAUGAGACGAUUCCUAAUGAUACUUUACUGGAGCCCAGCAUAAUCGUCAUCAGAGAGGCUCCACCAGCAAUGGAUGGAAAGAGAGGCAGAGGGCCACAGCCAGACAUUAGGUGGAGCUUGGGAAGUGCCCUGAAAGAGGGGGAGGAAGGACUGUAGGAGCCAGAGGGGUCAAGGACACCACAAGAAAACCCACAGAAACAACUAACCUGGGCUCAUAGACACCCCCAGAGACUGAACUGCCAACCAGGGAGCCUGCAUGGGAUUGACCUAAGCCCUCUGCAAUAUGUUAUGGUUAUGUAGCUUGGUCUUCUUGUGUGAUUCCUAAUAGUGAGGGUGAGAGAUGUCUCUGACUCUUUUGCCUGCUUUUGGGACCCUUUUCCCACUGGGUUGACUCAUCCACCCUUAGAUUGAGGGGAGGUGCCCAGUCUUACUGCAACUUUAUAUGCCAUGUUUGGUUGAUGUCUAUGGAAGGCCUGCCAUUUUCUGAAGGGAAACAGAGAAGGAGUGGAUGAGGGGAGAGAGGGAGGAGCUAUGUGUGUAGAUGGGGGGAGACUGCAGUUGGGUUGUAAUAAAUGAGAGAAUAAUAAAAAAACAAUUAAAAAAAAGAAAAUGGCCCCCAUAGGCUCAUAGGGAGUGGCAUCAUUGAGAUGUGAUUUUUUGAAGGAAGUGUGUCACUGAGGGUGGGCUUCGAGGUUUCAGAAGCUCAAGCCAAUCCCAGUAUCCCUCUCUCUUCCUGCUGCCUGCCUAUCCAGGUACCUUUCCAAACCCUGUGUUCCACCGUGCUUCCCGCUGUGAUGAUAUGGACUGAACCUCUGGGACUGUAAGCCUGACACAAUUAAAUGCUUUUCUUUAUAAGAGUUGUCUUGCUCAUGGUGUCUCUUCACAGCAGUGAAACCCCAAGACAAGUCCCAAAGGUAGGAUGUGGUUUGGUGCUGUCUGUAGCCCAGGGCGGCUCCCAGGGUGGCCAGUGAUGACAGGAUGAAGACAAAGUCAGAGCAGGACUCUGCAGAAACAUGUGUCAACUUCAUCAUUUUGUGUUUGUGUAAUCUAAUUAUUCAAAGGUAAGGAUUUACUACAGAUAAAUAUUUUUAAACUUUAGAAGUAUAGUAAACAGAGGUAGACAUUGCUAAGCCAUGCAUUGUUGUAUAGAUGACCUCUGGGCCAAUCAACAUGGAGCUUUGGAUGGUUAGAAAGACAAACGUGAGCCAAUACCUACUGACCUGCAAUCUGGAGCACGAACUCUUUCUUCUGGGGCAGCAAGGGGUUCUGGAUUAUACAAGACACGUUGCUAUGAGUCCCUCCUCGGACAAUCACAGAUGUCUCCAGACUGAAUAGGCCCUGGGCAUUCUGGGUGAUGUCUUC